UGUUCCUUUCUUUAUUUUUUUUAAUCGCUUGAGCUACUUUCUCAUUUAUUAUUUUGGUGACCAUUGCUGUCACUGUAUCUGCGAACUCACCUGGUUUUCUGUCAAAUCAUUCAUUUAAUAAUCUGUCAAAUUACUUUUUCCAUCUCUUCUCACAUCCAUUUCGUGAAUCAGUAUUUUAUUAUUUUCAUCUUGGCUACAUCUAAUCUGAUUAAUAUCUUUGGCUUUCUUUGAUCGUUGUUUGACUAUUUUAUAUAAUAUAAUUUUUGAUAGCUUCUCUGGUAUCAAGUUGAUCAUAUAUUUAGUAUACCUACGCUUCUGCUGUAGCUUUCGCUACUGCUACUUUCGCUUCCUGUUUAGCGAGAGUACCUAUAGGUUUGAAGAUCUGCGUCCGACCUAUUUUCUUACCACUUUUUAUGUACUUUUCUCUUCUCUUUUAUCGUUUUUCUACUCCUUAUGACCACCAAUAAGUCUCUUUAUUCCCAUUUAUUUCCUGACAUUUUUCUUUUUCCUGGUAUUUCAAUCUUCCUCUAAAUUGUAUUAGGGCUUCCUUUAAUUUUCCAACACAUUCUUUUCUACUCCUUUUGUCCUGAAUAUACCUUCUUUCUCAUCGUUUAAACCUACCACUUGAUGUUUUGUGGUACUUCCCGAUAUUUUUGGUUUAGUUUGUAAAAUGUAUUGAUUAAAUUUUGUCGGCCUCUGUUAUUUAAAAAUAAAUAAAGAAGUUAUUUUCUACUUACAAUAAUAAUUGAGUCAUUCAGCUCGUAUAAAGUCAGUGAAGUCUUUCUAUGUCAAAAGAGAAUAGUCCGUUGUAUUGCUGGUAUUUCUCGAAUAACUAGCUGUAAGAGUUAUUUUACUAGAUAUAAACUUUUAACUGUGCCGUGCUUAUAUAUUUUUGAAGUUUGUGUUUUUAUUCAUUCAAAUCUUGAGAAAUUUAAAACUAACGGUCAAAUUCACAAUAUAAAUACAAGGCAGAAUCAAAAAUUACAUGUACCUUUUUCUAAAGGAAAUAUGCAUUUUUACUCACCUGCAAUAAUAGGUCAAAGAAUAUAUAAUAAGUUACCCGAGCCAAUAAAAAAGUGUAAGAAUAUGAAAAUAUUUAAAUUAACUUUGAAAGAUUUUUUAUUGCAGAAUACGUUUUAUUCUGUUGAUGAGUAUUUUAGUAGUUGACAUUAUUUUAAGUAUAUGCUAGUAAUUUUGUGUUUGUAUUGUAAUCUUAGGUUUAACGUAAUUUUAGAUUUACAUUUAUAUUUACUAAUUUUGUUUUCUAAACUGUGACUGAUCCUAUACAAAUUGUAUUUGUCAAAAAGGAAAUAAAGUAUUAUUAUUAUUAUUAU
rnacentral:lncRNA from 1 species